AGCGAUCAUCGCUGUGGAAAUCACAAUUAUCACCUUCCUAUUCUUCAUCAUCAUCUUCGAUUAGAGAGAUUCCAGAAGAAGAAUAUGAAGAGAAACCAGUAUCCGCAAUCGCAUCAGUGGCAGCAGGCUGCCCAGUUUGCUUAUCUUACGUUUUGAUAAUGAAAAGCAACCCAAUGUGUCCCAGGUGCAAUUCUGUUGUUCCAGUGCCAAUGUUGAAAAAGCCUCGCAUCGAUCUCAACAUUUCAAUAUGAGAUAGAUUAGAGAGAUUUAAUGUUUGUGAUUUUGUAUAUGAUAGGUGCAAUUUAGGUGCUUAUAGAAUAGAAAUUGUAAGCAAAGAAGAGAUAAAUUAUUAUUAUUUUUAAUGGCUUUUAUCCCCAUAGAAGAUAGGUAAUUUAAGCAUCUUUAUUUAGACCUUAAUUGCUGCCAUUUAUCUUCAUAUUCCAUCUACUCUGUGAAUGAUGAUUUUUGCAUUUAAAAUUCAUACUUGUAUUAAGAUCCUAGUUGAUUAAGGGUUAGUGCCCCUCAUAAUUUGAUGAUUUUCAUCGUAAAUUAGAUGAG
rnacentral:misc_RNA from 1 species